rnacentral:tRNA from 1 species
GGGCGGUUAGCUCAGCUGGUUAGAGCGCCACAUUGACAUUGUGGAGGUCAUUGGUUCGAGUCCAGUACCGCCCACCA